rnacentral:snoRNA from 1 species
UCUAGAUGAUGUAUUCUAUAUUUGCUACUUCAGACGGGCUCGCCAGCUUCGAAUGAGACAUUUUUAAUCACCAAGAUCUCUGAUGUU